rnacentral:rRNA from 1 species
GACGAACGCUGGCGGCGUGCUUAACACAUGCAAGUCGAACGGAAAGGCCCUGCUUUUGUGGGGUGCUCGAGUGGCGAACGGGUGAGUAACACGUGAGUAACCUGCCCUUGACUUUGGGAUAACUUCAGGAAACUGGGGCUAAUACCGGAUAGGAGCUCCUGCUGCAUGGUGGGGGUGGGAAAGUUUCGGCGGUUGGGGAUGGACUCGCGGCUUAUCAGCUUGUUGGUGGGGUAGUGGCUUACCAAGGCUUUGACGGGUAGCCGGCCUGAGAGGGUGACCGGACACGCUGGGACUGAGAUACGGCACAGACUAGUACGGGAGGCAGCGGUGGGGAAUAUUGCACAAUGGGCGGAAGGAUGAUGCAGCAACGCCGCGUGCGGGAUGACGGCCUUCGGGUUGUGAAGCGCUUUCGCCUGUGACGAAGCGUGAGUGACGGUAAUGGGUAAAGAAGCACCGGCUAACUACGUG